rnacentral:rRNA from 1 species
UACGUAGGGGGCGAGCGUUGUCCGGAAUUAUUGGGCGUAAAGAGCGUGUAGGCUGUUCGGUAAGUCUGCCGUGAAAACCUGAGGCUCAACCUCGGGCGUGCGGUGGAUACUGCCGGGCUAGAGGACGGUAGAGGCGAGUGGAAUUCCCGGUGUAGCGGUGAAAUGCGCAGAUAUCGGGAGGAACACCAGUAGCGAAGGCGGUUGCCUGGGGCUUUGCUGACGCUGAUGCGCGAAAGCGUGGGGAGCGAGCCGG